GGCUCUUUGGCGAUGUGGUCAGCGCAUGUGACUCUAACCUAGGAGUCUGGGGUUCAAUCCCCUGCUUGGGCCC